AUCACCAGCACGUCCUAAAUCAUCUCCCUCAAAAACUACACCAUCACUAACUGAAGGAAACUAAAACCCCAACAAUGCACCCCAAAAUCCUUGUCAAUGCCUACGCCUAAAUCAACAUCCCCAAGACCGGCACCAAAUUCUGCUCAAUUUCAAGUUCAACUAGGUAUUUUUUUUUCCCUUUUUGAUUUUAUUUGCUUUAUGUUUAUUUAUUUUGAUGUGAUUAAAUGAAGUAUUUGUUUUUCUUAUGAAUGAGAUUUUCAUUUUAUGCUAGUUUAUCUAGUUAUAUUGGAAAUAUUAAAUAAUUUUUGAAGUAAAAUGAUAUAAUUUGGUCUUUUUGAUUGGGAAAAUGAACGUAUAAAUGAAAAAAUUGGUCUGAAAAAAGAUGAGAAAAAGCUAUUCUUCUGAGGUUUUAGUGGUUGGUGUCCCUAUAUUAAUAGUUUGUUUUUCAAAUGAAUUAAUCUGAUUGUGUAAAUAGUGCGUUUGUAUAACUUUUAUUUUCAAUUUAUAGUGGGUAAUCUUUGAUUGGCACUUGAAUCCUUAUAUUAGUUGCAACUCGUACAUAAGUGUGCUCUUAACAUGGAUUAAUUGUUGUUCUUGUUGGCGAUUAUUGGGAUGUAUACUUCAAGAUGAAGUAAUAUGGAUUAAAAUGUUUGAAAGAAUUGUUUGCAAUGAAAAUUCUUUAGUAUUUUAUGUAUUUUUUUCUCGUACUUGUAGAUAAUGUAUGUUAAAAUCAGAAAUUUCAUCAUACUCGACGAAUGCAAAAAUAGAUUGUAAUCUUGUUCUCUAUCAUUGCAUUCCUCUUUUAGUGAUAUGAGGAAGAACCUAUGUGUAGGAAGAAGGUACAGGAAGAAAAUAUUUUUUUGGUGUUGGUAUUUGAUGGGUUUUGUGCAUUGUGAUUAUAUGUAAUUAACAUAUUUUCAGCAUUGUGGAUGUCACGACUCUUAGCAUAUUGGGCCAUAAGUACCAUAUACAAACUAAACACUGGUUUGCCUCUUUUCUUCUUAGCAGCCUUUUGCAGUAUAGAGUUGGCCUUUUCUACUUGUUCGACAUCAAUGUAAAGCUUCACAAGUGCAUCCCAAGUUAGUGGUCCGAUGACAUAGCCACUUUCAACCAUUCCCUUUACGAGGUCUUUUCCUUUGGCCAACAUUUUAUGUUGUGCAUUAACAUUUAGUAGAAUCUGGGAUCUUUUCAUCUGGUUGUAUACUGUAUUGCUUUAAUGCUUGUACAUAUUUAUGUAAUUGGUGUAUACUUGCAUGUAUGGGAUGUAUAAAAUGUACAUGUAUGUGAAUUCUUGGUAUUGAGUCGAAUAUGG
rnacentral:lncRNA from 1 species